rnacentral:rRNA from 1 species
AGAGUUUGAUCUUGGCUCAGAAUCAACGCUGGCGGCGUGCCUAACACAUGCAAGUCGAACGCGAAAGUGGAGCAAUCCAUGAGUAGAGUGGCAAACGGGUGAGUAACACGUGGGCGACCUACCUCAGAGUGGGGGAUAACCUUCCGAAAGGAGGGCUAAUACCGCAUGACAUCCCGUGUUUGGAUACGCGGAGAUCAAAGCCGGGGAUCGCAAGACCUGGCGCUUGGAGAGGGGCCCGCGUCCGAUUAGCUAGUUGGUGAGGUAAUGGCUCACCAAGGCUCCGAUCGGUAUCCGGCCUGAGAGGGCGGACGGACACACUGGAACUGAGACACGGUCCAGACUCCUACGGGAGGCAGCAGUGGGGAAUUGUUCGCAAUGGGCGCAAGCCUGACGACGCAACGCCGCGUGGAGGAUGAAGAAUUUCGGUUCGUAAACUCCUUUUCGACCGAGAUGAACACCCCCGCAAUUUAAUACGUUGUGGGACUGACAGUAUCGAGAGAAGAAGCCCCGGCUAACUCUGUG